AACCAUUCUCAAGCUACACAAUUCUUAGGAAGAGUGUGGCAUGGAACUGAGUGUUCCCGGUAUGAGUGCUUCGGCGCUGUAACUGGGAGACUUGAAACUGAUCUCGCGGGAGCAGUGGUCAUUAAGGAUCAGCUCGUUGCAGGUGUACUAGUUGGAGGCGUCGCAAGACGUUUUCAUUCUUAGCACCAAUACGUAACGUUCAGAUCUGACAACUGUCACCGACGAACGCAGGAACUUGGAUGAGGGCGCAAGCCCGACUCUUAAUUC
rnacentral:misc_RNA from 1 species